rnacentral:rRNA from 1 species
CACGUAGGGCGCAAGCGUUGUCCGGAAUUAUUGGGCGUAAAGAGCUCGUAGGCGGUCUGUGCGUCCGCUGUGAAAACUCGGGGCUUAACCCCGAGCCUGCAGUGGAUACGGGCAGACUAGAGGUAGGUAGGGGAGAAUGGAAUUCCCGGUGUAGCGGUGAAAUGCGCAGAUAUCGGGAGGAACACCAGCGGCGAAGGCGCUGCUCUGGGCCGGUACUGACGCUGAGGAGCGAAAGCGUGGGGAGCGAACAGG